GUGGAAGAAACAGCUUGAUCAGUUCAUUGGCUUUCAGGUUCUUUCAUUUGUGUAGAGCCACCUGAUUAGGAACAGGAUGAAUGUACUAUACAUUUUACAUCUGGGAACAAUUUCCUCUCUGGAAUACUGUAUGUUGUGGGAUUACUGAGGUAACAGGCAUACCAGAAAAUGUAUCGUUGAAUUGAGAAGAACCCUAACAUUUCAAAUAGUGUCUCAUGAAGUUUCUAUAGAAUGGAGUGGGAAGCUGCUUUUCAUGCUCUUGACUAGUUCAUCUACUUCAGCGUCCAGGCAAUUGACAAAUGCUCAGGCCACUGUAAUGAUAAUACUGAAGUGGAACAUAAGAGGGUAUGAUUAUUGCUGUAUUAUUUGUGUUGUGGUAGUAUCUACAAGCCCCAUUCAUUGCCCUAGACACUACACAAACACAGAAGCAAGAGACAGUUCCUGUCCCAAGGAGUCUGAUACUGGGAUAUGAAAACAAAGAUUUGGUGUCAAAGGAAGGGAAUAUGUAUGGGUAAAGCAGAGCUAGCAAAAGGAAGCAAAGGGCAAAAAUCCUACUGAAGUGAAUCAGAGCUUUGCCUGUAAAAGAAGUGCAGGGCCAGACCUGAAAUGUAAAGUCUAUGUUUCCAUGUCACUUAGCUGGGGGAAAGUUCUUGAUAUUUCAAAAACAUAGUAUGAUAAAUUUAAGAUCAAAAUUAAAACAAAACAAUUGUUUAUACUGCAGAUUCAAUCGAACACAUAAUUUAAAAAAGAAAAUAACCUGAUUGAUCUUUGCAGCAAAACAUCUAGCCAUUUACAGCAGCAUCCACUGCUGUUUCUAAAUUUCCUUUGCUCGUCUUCCUCCAAACAUUGGAGUGUCUUUAUCUGCUACCACUUAAGACCUGAUGCUGCAGCCCCCCCUCUACAGACAGAACACCUUUGGAAGCCAAAGUGAGUGAAUUGUGUGGAAGGCUUGCAAGCUCAGGAUCGCAGUCCCUUCCUUCCUGGCAAUGUUCCAAUGGAUAGGACACGGGACUCAGACUCCGACUUGGGUUCUAUUCCUAGUCUCUGAUCUGUGGCAUGACUUAAGCAAAUCACUUCACCUCUCUCUACCUGUGUUUCUUUUCCUGUCCUUUGUCUUGGCUGCUUAGAUUGUAAGCUCUUCUGCAUAGAGAUUGUCUCUUAUAACCACAUGUUUACAGUUCCUAGCACAGUGAAGCCCCAUCUCAGGUAAGGAGUCUAGUCAGUAGUGUAACACUGAUGAUUAUGAUAUGGUUCUUGAAAUUUCCUUUCUUUUCCUUAGCUUACAAUCACCUUUCCUUGUGAAGUAUUUCACACAUAUAUUCAGUGGGCUUUGUUUAAAAAAAAAAAAAAGCACACCGUAGGCGAACGGUUAUUCAACAGUGCUAUCUGAAACUCCACAUUUUGCCCAGUGUUACCAUAUUAGGAAAUGGUAUCUUGCUAUUGGAGGAAAAUCAAGACUUUUUAAUGGAGACUACAAUAUGAAGGACACUACAGAAAAAUAGGAGCUAGUCCUAUACCCUGAAGUCAAUGAUGGUUUUGACAUAGACUUCAAAGAAAAAUGAAUCAUGAUUGUAUAUUGUAUGCCU